AUUGCAGUCGAACGCUGAAGCACGGAAUCUUCGGAUUCUGUGUGGAGGCGUGGAGCACGGGUGGGUAUCGCGUGGAUAACCUGCCCUCGAGUGGGGAAUAACUCCGGGAAACUGGUGCUCGUACCGCAUAAUCUUCCCCCGGCCUGAAUCAGAGGAAGCAAAGACUUCCGUCGCUUGAGGAGGGGUCCGCGUUCGAUCAGCUUGUUGGUGAGGUGACGGCUCACCAAGGCUGAGACCGAUAGCCGGUCUGAGAGGAUGGUCGGCCACACUGGAACUGAGACACGGUCCAGACUCCUACGGGAGGCAGCAGUGAGGAAUCUUGCGCAAUGGGGGAAACCCUGACGCAGCGACUCCGCGUGGAGGAUGAAGGCCCUCGGGUCGUAAACUCCUUUCUACAGGGAAGAAAUGCUCUUCGGAGUUUGACGGUACCUGUAGAAGAAGCCCCGGCUAACUACGUGCCAGGAGCCGCGGUAAUACGUAGGGGGCAAGCGUUGCUCGGAAUUACUGGGCGUAAAGGGUCUGUAGGCGGUUGGGUA
rnacentral:rRNA from 1 species